rnacentral:rRNA from 1 species
AUUGAACGCUGGCGGAAUGCUUUACACAUGCAAGUCGAGCGGCAGCGCGGGGCAACCUGGCGGCGAGCGGCGAACGGGUGAGUAAUGCAUCGGAACAUGUCCAGUCGUGGGGGAUAGCCCGCCGAAAGGCGGAUUAAUACCGCAUACGCCCGGGAGGGGAAAGCGGGGGACCUGCAAGGGCCUCGCGCGAUUGGGUUGGCCGAUGUCCGAUUAGCUAGUUGGUGGGGUAAAGGCCCACCAAGGCGAUGAUCGGUAGCUGGUCUGAGAGGAUGAUCAGCCACACGGGGACUGAGACACGGCGCAGACUCCUACGGGAGGCAGCAGUGGGGAAUUUUGGACAAUGGGGGCAACCCUGAUCCAGCCAUUCCGCGUGAGUGAAGAAGGCCUUCGGGUUGUAAAGCUCUUUUGUCCGGAGCGAAACGGUUGUGGUGAAUAUCCACGACUACUGACGGUACCGGAAGAAUAAGCACCGGCUAACUACGUGCCAGCCGCCGCGGUAAGAC